UGCUCCUUUGACGUUAGCGGCGGACGGGUGAGUAACACGUGGGUAACCUACCUAUAAGACUGGGACAACUUCGGGAAACCGGAGCUAAUACCGGAUAAUAUGUUGAACCGCAUGGUUCAAUAGUGAAAGAUGGUUUUGCUAUCACUUAUAGAUGGACCCGCGCCGUAUUAGCUAGUUGGUGAGGUAACGGCUCACCAAGGCAACGAUACGUAGCCGACCUGAGAGGGUGAUCGGCCACACUGGAACUGAGACACGGUCCAGACUCCUACGGGAGGCAGCAGUAGGGAAUCUUCCGCAAUGGGCGAAAGCCUGACGGAGCAACGCCGCGUGAGUGAUGAAGGUCUUAGGAUCGUAAAACUCUGUUAUUAGGGAAGAACAAACGUGUAAGUAACUGUGCACGUCUUGACGGUACCUAAUCAGAAAGCCACGGCUAACUACGUGCCAGCAGCCGCGGUAAUACGUAGGUGGCAAGCGUUAUCCGGAAUUAUUGGGCGUAAAGCGCGCGAAGGCGGUUUUUUAAGUCUGAUGUGAAAGCCCACGGCUCAACCGUGGAGGGUCAUUGGAAACUGGAAAACUUGAGUGCAGAAGAGGAAAGUGGAAUUCCAUGUGUAGCGGUGAAAUGCGCAGAGAUAUGGAGGAACACCAGUGGCGAAGGCGACUUUCUGGUCUGUAACUGACGCUGAUGUGCGAAAGCGUGGGGAUCAAACAGGAUUAGAUACCCUGGUAGUCCACGCCGUAAACGAUGAGUGCUAAGUGUUAGGGGGUUUCCGCCCCUUAGUGCUGCAGCUACGCAUUAAGCACUCCGCCUGGGGAUACGACCGCAAGUG
rnacentral:rRNA from 1 species